GAGAGUACAUAGGGUGGUUCGCUAAACUCUAAGCCAUGUGUUUUAAAAUGUAUUUCUGCAAAAAUAAGACUUAUUAGCGAAUUGUUCUGAAUAUCUACCUAUAUUUUCUACAGGCCAGUUGAUUCUUAUAUCUCUCAGUUUAAUGAUUGAAAUGCAUACAGCUAAAGACUUUGCGUGGAAUAUUAUACUGAACCUCUCUGCGGAAUCUACAGAAACAGGCUAAUUUAGGAGAAAAAGCAGCACCUUCUCUCCUUUCAAGCUACAAAUGUUUCUUACCUUAAAGUGAUGAGUUUUGAAACACGACAUGACUAAAUGUAUCUCAACACUGGAAUAUAAUUUUAUUCCCUUGACUUUCUGUACUCUAUUCCACCUCACAAAGAUGUUUGUCAGUGUAUAAAUGUAUUUGUUUUAUUGUGCACCAGUGUAUUUAUUUUGUAAAUGAAUGAACAAGACAAAGCUAUAAAUAUCGUCAGCAAAAUGAGACUUCUCUCGCAUUUAGCUCCUCCUCCAGCUGUCCCUACGUAAACCAGGAAGUAUUCGUCAGUCUACUUCUUCAUCUGUUUGAAAUCGAACCAAGUAGCAGCAACCAGUCAUAUGUAUGCUAUCUGAAUACGUAUGUUUACAUUCAAUUGUCUGCUGCUACUCUCACUGGUUUCAAUGUGAGCACUAUUGAGUACGUGCACAAAGCGUACAUAUUAAUGGUUCUGUCAGCAAGGGGUAAAUGGGACAGAAGUCUCACUUUCUAACUCCAAUAACUAAAGAAUACAUGCCCGUUUUGUGCGGAGUAAAAUGCAUUGGGGUCCAUGCAAAAUGACAACAUGCGUUAAAUAUAAAAAUGCAAUUUUGGGAACUAAACUGUUCUUUUUAAAAUGUAUAUAUGAACAACCCAGACCUGAGCAUUUCUCUAUUGUGUACAAGACUAUGAUAACUUUUAAUUGUUGUGUUACGGUCUCAGGGCCUCUUAGCGUUAAUAAUUUGUACGUGUUUGAAUUGUGCAUAGGUACUGAAGGCAGUCAGGUGUUUAAAUAAGUAGAGGUUAUGCUUCCAUAAUGAGAAGGAAAAACCACAGUGCAUAUAUUAACAAAAAAGUAACCACAUCCAAUAUUCUCAUACUAAUAAGGUAGUGAAGUAAAAGUUUAGAGCUUUGUUCACUUUCUUCGUAUUUAUUUAUAGCUUUCAGUGAGCCUAGAGUCUCAUGGUGUUUAUUUGAAUGUUAUUAAUAAAUAAAGUGUCAAUCCAUUGUUGGUUA